GCCCGGGCUGCGCCGACCGCCGGCCCCGAGCCGCCGCGGGCUCCGAGGAGUCGGCCGAGCUGCUCCCGCGCCCUGGCCGGGGACUUACCAAUUUGGGAUUCUUCCAGGAGCUGAAAACUGAUUGCAAAUAUGAAACAGAUUUCACUACAGGACUUGAACCCUACAUUAAAAAACAACAAGCUCCCCAAAAUAAUUGAAAAAGAUCUUCACCAAAGAGUAGCUGCAAUGUGAAUGGCAGGAUAUGAAGCAAGUAAGAGAUGGUGAAAAGAUUAUCUUAAGCUUGGAAUUAAGUGAUGAAAGGGACCUUCGAAAUUAUCAACUCUAAAUACUUCUUUACAGGAAAAUUGAAAGCAGUUAAGAACCUGCCCCCUACCGUGGAGUUCUUGGUGCCGUGAGUUGGAGUUCUUGGUGCCUGGGUGCGUCCCCAAGGCCACUGGUCUUCAGAUCUUUCUUACUUGAGAAGAACGCCUCCGCCUCCUGGCUCUCCCACCAGUGGUAUUGCCACCACCACACACCAGCAUAAAGCACAGAUUGCUGCCCAGCUCCUUGGAGAGGGGCCAGUGCAUUUGUCAGGAAUUGAAAAGUUUUGGAGCCAGUUCGAGGACUUUCUCCUGCACAAAGUGUUGGCUGGAAGCAUGAUUAUCUCACACAGAGCGUUGGAAUUACUUCAUGAUGAUUUCAA
rnacentral:lncRNA from 1 species